AUUUCAGCAGAAAACUCGAAAAAUGGUGUGCUGCCGACUACCAAAAGUUUUUUUUUUUUUAUUUUGCGUUAUGGAUGCAAGGCAGAUCAGAUGGAUUAUUUCUCUGGUAUCUUGCCAUCAUCUAUGCCAACUGCGAAACCAAAAAACUGUUACCAACCUAAGGCUAUUGCUUUCCAUUAUGUUAUUAGUUGCUCAUGUAGAGAUUUAGCUCGUGAAAUUUGCAUUGCAAAGAAUGCUGACCGGGAAGAAACGUCACCAAUGAUACAAAUGCUAUGGGUGCACAAUAAUCAUUGUGUUGUGUUUCCAGCUAUAACCACCAAUGUUUCAGCAUUCAUCUCAUAAUUUCUACUUAGCUGCGAACACACAGACAUACACUUCAAAGAACUGCCAAGUCUUUGCCUUCUCCUGCAUAACUUCUGGCCAUACAGUCUUUUUAGCCUUUGGACAACAGGCGACUAUGUCUUCUUCCUCUUCCGGAUUCAUCGUCAAUAUUCAAAGUUUUGCCUUCUUCGCUUCAUUGUCCGUCGCCCCAUCUUCGCCUCGUCCGUCGCCGAUUCUUCGCCCCGUCUUCACCCCAUCUUCGCCUCGUCCGUCGCCCCAUCUUUGCCUCGUCCGUCGCCGAUUCUUCGCCCCGUCUUCACCCCAUCUUCGCCUCGUCCGUCGCCCCAUCUUCGCCUCGUCCGUCGCCCCAUCGUCGCCUCGUCCGUCGCCCCAUCGUCGCCUCGUCCGUCGUCGCCUCGUCCGUCGCCUAGUCUUCGCCCUGUCGCCGUGUCAUCGCCUCGUGGUAUCGUUUUGUUUUGUUUUGUAUUAUGUUCUUCUAAUUAACCCGUUGGCUGCC